rnacentral:rRNA from 2 species
AACGCGAAGAACCUUACCUGGGCUUGAACUACUCGUGGUAGUUCGCUGGAAACAGUGGACGACCCGCAAGGGAGCGAGCAGAGGUGCUGCAUGGUUGUCGUCAGCUCGUGUCGUGAGAUGUUGGGUUAAGUCCCGCAACGAGCGCAACCCCUAUCUCAUGUUGCUAUUCCCGCAAGGGAAGCACUCUUGAGAAACUGCCUUCGAUAAGAAGGAGGAAGGUGGGGACGACGUCAAAUCCUCAUGGCCCUUAUGUCCAGGGCUACACACGUGUUACAAUGGCCGGUACAAUGGGAAGCAAUACCGCAAGGUGGAGCCAAACCCCAAAGCCGGCCCCAGUUCAGAUUGUGGGCUGCAACUCGCCCACAUGAAGGCGGAAUCGCUAGUAAUCGCUGAUCAGCAGGCAGCGGUGAAUACGUUCCCGGGCCUUGUA